CCUACGGGGUGCAGCAGUGAGGAAUAUUGGUCAAUGGACGAGAGUCUGAACCAGCCAAGUAGCGUGAAGGAUGACUGCCCUAUGGGUUGUAAACUUCUUUUAUAUGGGAAUAAAAUGUUCCACGUGUGGGAUUUUGUAUGUACCAUAUGAAUAAGGAUCGGCUAACUCCGUGCCAGCAGCCGCGGUAAUACGGAGGAUCCGAGCGUUAUCCGGAUUUAUUGGGUUUAAAGGGAGCGUAGGUGGAUUGUUAAGUCAGUUGUGAAAGUUUGCGGCUCAACCGUAAAAUUGCAGUUGAAACUGGCAGUCGUGAGUACAGUAGAGGUGUGCGGAAUUCGUGGUGUAGCGGUGAAAUGCUUAGAUAUCACGAAGAACUCCGAUUGCGAAGGCAGCUCACUGGACUGCAACUGACACUGAGGCUCGAAAGUGUGGGUAUCAAACAGGAUUAGAUACCCUAGUAGUC
rnacentral:rRNA from 1 species